GAUCAUGGCUCAGGAUGAACGCUGGCGGCGUGCCUAACACAUGCAAGUCGAACGGAGCUGAUUUGAUGAGAUCUUCGGAUGGAUUUAAAACAGCUUAGUGGCGGACGGGUGAGUAACGCGUGGGUAACCUGCCUCACACUGGGGGAUAACAGUUAGAAAUAGCUGCUAAUACCGCAUAAGCGCACGGUUCCGACGACGAGUGUGAAACAACCGUCGGUGUGAGAUGGCCGGCCGU
rnacentral:rRNA from 1 species